GACGAACGCUGGCGGCGUGCUUAACACAUGCAAGUCGAACGGAAAGGCCCUGCUUUGUGGGGUGGCUGAGUGGCGAACGGGUGAGUAACACGGGAGGAAACCGCCCCUGAACUUGGGAUAACCUUAGGAAACCGGGGGCAAUACCGGAUAGGAGCCUCCGCCGCAAGGUGGGGGGUGGAAAGUUUCGGCGGUUGGGGAUGGACUCGCGGCUUAUCAGCUUGUUGGUGGGGUAGUGGCUUACCAAGGCUUUGACGGGUAGCCGGCCUGAGAGGGUGACCGGCCACAUUGGGACUGAGAUACGGCCCAGACUCCUACGGGAGGCAGCAGUGGGGAAUAUUGCACAAUGGGCGGAAGCCUGAUGCAGCAACGCCGCGUGCGGGAUGACGGCCUUCGGGUUGUAAACCGCUUUCGCCUGUGACGAAGCGUGAGUGACGGUAAUGGGUAAAGAAGCACCGGCUAACUACGUG
rnacentral:rRNA from 1 species